rnacentral:rRNA from 1 species
CCUACGGGAGGCAGCAGUGGGGAAUAUUGGGCAAUGGGCGCAGGCCUGACCCAGCAACGCCGCGUGAAGGAAGAAGGCUUUCGGGUUGUAAGCUUCUUUUCUCAGGGACGAAGCAAGUGACGGUACCUGAGGAAUAAGCCACGGCUAACUACGUGCCAGCAGCCGCGGGAAUACGUAGGUGGCAAGCGUUAUCCGGAUUUACUGGGUGUAAAGGGCGUGUAGGCGGGAAAGCAAGUCAGAUGUGAAAACCAUGGGCUCAACCUGUGGCCUGCAUUUGAAACUGUUUUUCUUGAGUACUGGAGAGGCAGACGGAAUUCGGAGUGUAGCGGUGAAAUGCGUAGAUAUCAGGAGGAACACCGGUGGCGAAGGCGGCCGGCUGGACUGCAACUGACGUUGAGGCCCGAAAGCGUGGGGAGCAAACAGGAUUAGAUACCCGAGUAGUC